CUCUGGACAUGACUGUAUCUCUGUGCUUUCAGCUUCUUUACAGUGCUGCCUUGUUGCGUUCAUGUCAAGCAGCAUUGUACAGGGCUAUGAAAGAACAGAGGCAUGCUCUUCUCUUGAGUU
rnacentral:pre_miRNA from 7 species